CUUUCGGUUCGGAAUAAUACAGGGAAACUUGUACUAAUACCGGAUACGCCCUUCGGGGGAAAGAUUUAUCGCCGAUUGAUCGGCCCGCGUCUGAUUAGCUAGUUGGUGAGGUAAUGGCUCACCAAGGCGACGAUCAGUAGCUGGUCUGAGAGGAUGAUCAGCCACACUGGGACUGAGACACGGCCCAGACUCCUACGGGAGGCAGCAGUGGGGAAUAUUGGACAAUGGGCGCAAGCCUGAUCCAGCCAUGCCGCGUGUGUGAUGAAGGCCUUAGGGUUGUAAAGCACUUUUGUCCGGGAAGAUAAUGACUGUACCGGAAGAAUAAGCCCCGGCUAACUUCGUGCCAGCAGCCGCGGUAAUACGAAGGGGGCUAGCGUUGCUCGGAAUCACUGGGCGUAAAGGGCGCGUAGGCGGACUCUUAAGUCGGGGGUGAAAGCCCAGGGCUCAACCCUGGAAUUGCCUUCGAUACUGAGAGUCUUGAGUUCG
rnacentral:rRNA from 1 species